AUUGAACGCUGGCGGCAGGCCUAACACAUGCAAGUCGAGCGGAGCUGCGGACGGGUGAGUACUGCCUAGGAAUCUACCUGGUAGUGAGUGAUCACGUCCGGAAACGGGCGCUAAUACCGCAUACUAUCAGAUCAGCCUGGGUCGGAGUAGCUAGUUGGUGGGGUAAAGGCCUACCAAGGCGACGAUCCGUAACUGGUCUGAGAGGAUGAUCAGUCACACUGGAACUGAGACACGGUCCAGACUCCUACGGGAGGCAGCAGUGGGGAAUAUUGGACAAUGGGCGAAAGCCUGAUCCAGCCAUGCCGCGUGUGUGAAGAAGGUUUUCGGAUUGUAAAGCACUUUAAGUUGGGAGGCGUUACCAACAGAAUAAGCACCGGCUAACUUCGUGCCAGCAGCCGCGGUAAUAC
rnacentral:rRNA from 1 species